GACGAACGCUGGCGGCGUGCUUAACACAUGCAAGUCGAACGGAAAGGCCCUGCUUGCAGGGUACUCGAGUGGCGAACGGGUGAGUAACACGUGGGUGAUCUGCCCUGCACUUCGGGAUAAGCCUGGGAAACUGGGUCUAAUACCGGAUAGGAGCCAUUUUUAGUGUGAUGGUUGGAAAGUUUUUUCGGUGUAGGAUGAGCUCGCGGCCUAUCAGCUUGUUGGUGGGGUAAUGGCCUACCAAGGCGGCGACGGGUAGCCGGCCUGAGAGGGUGGACGGCCACUUUGGGACUGAGAUACGGCCCAGACUCCUACGGGAGGCAGCAGUGGGGAAUAUUGCACAAUGGGCGCAAGCCUGAUGCAGCGACGCCGCGUGGGGGAUGACGGCCUUCGGGUUGUAAACUCCUUUCGCUGGGGACGAAGCUUUUUGUGACGGUACCUAGAUAAGAAGCACCGGCUAACUACGUG
rnacentral:rRNA from 1 species